CGCAUUUUGUCUCGUGCUUAGCAGCUCGCUUUGUUGCUAAGCUGGAACCUGCUGAUUUGUAGUUCCUUAUUGUGGGUUCUUUUCUCUUCGUGUUCCCCUCUUCCCGCCUUACUUUUCGAUCUUCAGAUGCCAAUACUUUUUUGUACUUUCGUUUCAUUUUGCAGGUUUCGUUCGGAUUCAAAGAGGGUUCUUGUUUCCAUACAUGCAAGCGUUGUUCUGCGCCGUUCGUUUGCUGCGCUUGAGGCUUUUUGGAUUGGGCUCUUGGUUCUUUUGAACGUUUCCUCUUGCUUCUGGGCAUCCUCACGGGCAACGGGGGGAAAGAUUCCCCACCUAAUUUUCCAUUAGAGGGGCUCUGAAGCCAGAUAACACAACAGUUUAGAUGUUCUAAGGGGUGUAGAUCAUUGCUAGCGUAUUACAUGGGAGAAAGGAGUGUACAACAGGACUCAACAACCGCCGCGUCUUCUCUGGGCAGGUGCCACGCCCACAAUCUUGCAUCUUCACGGCAGUUGUUUAAGAGUAGCAGCAACGAAGGGGCGAUGUCGUCGAAGACCACCCGGUUUCUGUGCUUCCAGAUGUUCCAGCAGCAUAGGAAGAAGAAGACUGAGCCAUGGUUGGCAGGAACAGAGCUUGAGUUUGCCAUGGAGUGUAGCCUGUCAACUGACAUCGGUGGAUCCAGCACCACGCCAACAUGCUGCCAAAGAGACGCUGCAACUGGGCAGGCGAAGAUGAGAUGAUCCACUAUCUCCGGUUGAUUCUUGCACAACUCACAGGUGGCAUCAGCAAUGAUGGACUUCUUGAGGAGGUUGCUGCGGCUUUGAAUGUGUCAUUGAACAAGGAGCCAGACGAAGAAUUGGACUCUUGGAGGAGCGCGAUUCUUCCAGACGAAGUUAGAGCAGACGCUUCUAGGCAUGUGAGCGGCCAUAAGCACCUUGUACAGGGAGGAGGUGUCCAGGCCGCCAUCCGCCUUCUGGAACGCACAGACCCGCACGUCGUCACCAUGUCGGAGACGUACCGGAGCGAGGAGCAGCGCAAGCUUGGCGCGUUCUUCAGUAGCCGCCCUAGUACACCUUGUUCGGAGGAGGUUGUCAACUCCGCGUUGCAGGGCCUACUCGACGCCCUAUUUGCUCCAUUCCACUGCAUCCAGAUUGUCUUUUCUACCUUUGGCGAACAAGUUCAAUUUUUUCUUGUUCUCGUAUGUUUAUUUCCCUAUUAGAUCUCAGCAUUCCUGCACUUCGAC